rnacentral:snoRNA from 1 species
AUCCUUUGGUUCAUAAAUAUGAUGAACGGGUUAAUCACAGACGUUGUGUGAAAUGUACAACCUUAUUGUUACGCAAUGUACAUCAGCCUUCUGAUU